rnacentral:rRNA from 1 species
AUGGUUUUGGAUGCCAAAGCUCCACCGGCCGUGGCGACGGCCUGCGAGCUCGUCGUCGAUGUCAACUUCGAUGCGACCAGGGCACGGCCUGCAAGUAACGGCAGCGCGUCUUCUAAAGCGAGAUCAAGGUAUUUUGAGGGUGUCGUCCCGAUAGAUUUGCCGCUAGACGAUGAGAGGAGGAUGAAGCAGGAGCUGGUCGCCUGGGCAAAGGCCGUGGCAUCCAUGGCCAUCAGGGCAUAUCACCGCAAUGCUGAGGUCGUAGCGUCAGGUGUAUAG